AUACUUACCUGGACGGGGUCAAUGGGUGAUCAAAAAUGCCCAUGGCCUAGGUCAGUGACCUCCAUUGCACUAUGGGAGGGGUGCUGCCCUAAGGUCUGCCCAAGUGGCAGAGCCUACGUCGUAAUUUGUGGUAGUGGGGGCCUGCGUUCGCGCGGCCCCUAU